rnacentral:rRNA from 1 species
UACGUAGGGGGCAAGCGUUGUCCGGAAUCAUUGGGCGUAAAGAGCGUGUAGGCGGCUCGGUCAGUCUGGUGGGAAAGUCCAGGGCUCAACCCUGGAAGGCCGGUGGAAACUGCCGGGCUAGAGUCCGGAAGAGGCGAGUGGAAUUCCCGGUGUAGCGGUGAAAUGCGCAGAUAUCGGGAGGAACACCAAUGGCGAAGGCAGCUCGCUGGGACGGUACUGACGCUGAGACGCGAAAGCGUGGGGAGCGAACAGG